UACGAAGGGGGCUAGCGUUGUUCGGAAUUACUGGGCGUAAAGCGCGCGCAGGCGGUCUUCCAAGUCAGUGGUGAAAGCCCGGAGCUCAACUCCGGAACUGCCAUUGAAACUGUUGAACUUGAGGACGAGAGAGGUGAGUGGAAUUCCCAGUGUAGAGGUGAAAUUCGUAGAUAUUGGGAAGAACACCGGUGGCGAAGGCGGCUCACUGGCUCGUUUCUGACGCUCAGGCGCGACAGCGUGGGGAUCAAACAGG
rnacentral:rRNA from 1 species